ACGGGAGGCAGCAGUGGGGGAUAUUGCACAAUGGGGGAAACCCUGAUGCAGCAACGCCGCGUGAGGGAAGAAGGUUUUCGGAUUGUAAACCUCUGUCCUUAGUGAAGAAAGAUGACGGUAGCUAAGGAGGAAGCUCCGGCUAACUACGUGCCAGCAGCCGCGGUAAUACGUAGGGAGCGAGCGUUGUCCGGAAUUACUGGGUGUAAAGGGUGCGUAGGCGGCGAGGCAAGUCAGCAGUGAAAUCCAUGGGCUUAACCCAUGACGUGCUGUUGAAACUGUCUUGCUUGAGUGAAGUAGAGGUAGGCGGAAUUCCCGGUGUAGCGGUGAAAUGCGUAGAGAUCGGGAGGAACACCAGUGGCGAAGGCGGCCUACUGGGCUUUAACUGACGCUGAGGCACGAAAGCAUGGGUAGCAAACAGGAUUAGAUACCCUGGUA
rnacentral:rRNA from 1 species